AACGAACGCUGGCGGCAUGCCUAACACAUGCAAGUCGAACGAGACCUUCGGGUCUAGUGGCGCACGGGUGCGUAACGCGUGGGAAUCUGCCCUUGGGUUCGGAAUAACAGAGAGAAAUUACUGCUAAUACCGGAUGAUGUCUUCGGACCAAAGAUUUAUCGCCCAGGGAUGAGCCCGCGUAGGAUUAGCUAGUUGGUGGGGUAAUGGCCUACCAAGGCGACGAUCCUUAGCUGGUCUGAGAGGAUGAUCAGCCACACUGGGACUGAGACACGGCCCAGACUCCUACGGGAGGCAGCAGUGGGGAAUAUUGGACAAUGGGCGCAAGCCUGAUCCAGCAAUGCCGCGUGAGUGAUGAAGGCCUUAGGGUUGUAAAGCUCUUUUACCCGGGAUGAUAAUGACAGUACCGGGAGAAUAAGCUCCGGCUAACUCCGUG
rnacentral:rRNA from 1 species